rnacentral:misc_RNA from 1 species
GUGAAGAACGUAGCGAAAUGCGAUAAUUAAUGUGAAUUGCAGAAUUCCGUGAAUCAUCGAGUCUUUGAACGCACAUUGCGCCUCAUGGCAUUCCGUGAGGCAUGCCCAUCUCAGCGUUAGAAAAUAUUCUCAAAUUUUAGUUUUGUGCUAAAAUUUGGAUCAUGUCAAGGAAGCUAUUACUAUUAUUGUGAUCGCUCUUUGGAAAUUGAUAGGUCUUUGAGUUGCUACUCAUAGAACGUGAUGAAUCUUUCUUCGUUCUAUUGUAAUUCACUCUGGUAGUCCUAAAACUUGUAUGCCUGUGGCAUAUCUUGUAAUUUGACCUGAGAUUGGGUAGGGAUACCCGCUGAACUUAAGCAUAUCAAUAAGCGGAGGA